GCAUUUGAAUAACAAGUACACCCAACAUUAAAUAACAGGUACAACAAGUAAAUAUACACCCAAAUCCUAGCAAGAUCAGCAUUACAUCAAAAUUCCAAGCACAUUUUGCACAAGUUCAAUAACAUAUAAAGCGAGCCGCUAACUGGGGCUUCGAGCUUCUUCGAAUUUCUUUGGCCGAGGAACUCCUAUAAAUGAGAGGGAAAACAGAUUAGUCACAAGUACACAAGCACUGUUUGCAUCAGUACAUCGACACUCGCAAGUAAUACAUCAUUCACUUAAAACAUCUAAAGUGAAAUAGAUACAUGACAUGACACAUGAGGCAGAUGUUGCCAAACAAAGAUGGCACCUAUAUAGACCUUGAAAAAAACCAUACAAGUCAGUGAAGCUCCAACACAUCACUCAUGGACUAAAAUAACAAGAUAAAGCAUCACUAGGGAUGCAUACUAAUUUUACUAAUAUGUUUUAAUUGUCUACUUUGGAGUUGCAGUAUCUCUUAACAGCAUGCUACACUCUGAACUUAGUGUUCAUAGCAACAUAUGAAGUGAGGAGAUUUGAAUAGAUUUUUCAAAUACAUGUGCUGGUAUGGGAAUGCUUCUCUAGAAUGAUGUACAUGUGCAUAGAUUUUCAAAUAAAUAUGAGGACUCCUAGAACAAUCAGAGAAUGAAUGAAUGCAGAAGGCAAAGCAUCAUCAUAGAUGAAGGCAUCACCAGAAUUCAUACUUACAUGGAGAGACACUAUCAUGCAGGAAUAGGUAUGGAUUGUCAAAAGUUGCUUUAUCCUACUAUCACUAGUACAACAAGCUGCAGGUUGGCAUAUCCAUGAACCAUGUACCUCAUGACAGAUAUAAUAUAUCAUCUAAUGCUCGACUAUGACAAACGUUAAGCAAUUACACCUCACAAAGGCAAAGCAAAGAAUCAUGGAGCGAGUAGGAGGGGUAGAAGGGGACCUAAGGAGCUCAUCGGAAGUGGUUGUAGCCUAGGCUGAGC
rnacentral:lncRNA from 1 species